rnacentral:lncRNA from 12 species
UUACAAACAAAGCCACUGUAGAUAUUCACGUUACGGUUUUUGUAUGCACAUGGGUUUUUAUUUCUCUGGGAUAAAAGCCCAUGAGCGCAAUUGUGUGCUAUGUGUUUUAAUGCAACAUCAUUUCACUAUAUAAUCUCUAUUACAAUAGGCCACAUGCUAAAGGGGAGAAUAUGGGCUUCGAAGAAACAUGAGGAUUUGGAUCUUGAUCUGUAGUGAGUACUGCUCUCAGUUCAUUCAUGUCAUAAAAUGGGUGUGUUUAACAUAACUGUCGGGAUUUGUGAGCUGAGAGAUAAGCAUAUGCUAUGGCCACACCUGGCAUUGUGUGGCAGGUGGUAGGUACUCCACUAGUGCAGAUUUCUUCCCCUGCAUCCCCUGUGGUUCCUAGCACAGUGCCUAGAACAUGGAAGGUGUCCGGAGGAAGAUGGAGGUUGGGAUGCAGAAACUGGAGCACACACAGCUUUAGGGACCUGCUGUGCCUCCCACAGCAGACAAGGCCCAGUUCCUCCACGGCGCCCACGUGGUGGAUUGAAGAAGAAAGCCAAGAGCCUAGCAAGCCUUUGAACUACGAUUAAGAGUGGCUGCCAGCUGCCCAUGUAAGUCUGCC